UCCUUGGUGCCUUAGUCGGUAAAGAAUCUGCCUGCAAUGCAGGAGACCCGGAUUCAAUUCCUGGGUCAGGAA
rfam:Ovis aries breed Texel chromosome 12, whole genome shotgun sequence.